CGGACGGGUGAGUAAUGUCUGGGAAACUGCCUGAUGGAGGGGGAUAACUACUGGAAACGGUAGCUAAUACCGCAUAACGUCGCAAGACCAAAGAGGGGGACCUUCGGGCCUCUUGCCAUCGGAUGUGCCCAGAUGGGAUUAGCUAGUAGGUGGGGUAACGGCUCACCUAGGCGACGAUCCCUAGCUGGUCUGAGAGGAUGACAGCCACACUGGAACUGAGACACGGUCCAG
rnacentral:rRNA from 1 species